rnacentral:rRNA from 1 species
GUGAAUAAAUUAAUAAAAAAAAAAUAAUAAAAAAAUUUUUAAAUUUGAUUAUAUUAAAAUAUUUUAAUGGGGGUUAAAGUAUAUUUGAUAGAAAAAAUUAAUAAUUUUAUAAAGAAUUAGUAUUGUGAAAAAAUUUUGAAAUAAGAAUGAAAAUAAAAUUAUUAAAAAGUAAUUUUAAUUUAGUGUAUCUUGUGUAUCAGAGUUUAUUAAAUAAAUUUUUAGUAAUAAAUAAUUCUCGAAUUUAAAAGAGAUAAUUAAUUAUAAAAGUUAUUGUAGCAUAAAUAUUUUUAAUAAUUAAUUUGAAAUGAAAUGUUAUUCGUUUUUAAAGAUAUCUAGUUUUUUUAGAAAAAAAUUUAAUUUUAAAUUUAUUUAAUAUUAAAUUAAUUAAUUAAUUAUAAAUAUUAUGUAAAUUUUAUAUUUUAAGGGAUAAGCUUUAAAAUAAAUUUAAUAUAAUUAAUAAAUUUAUUAUAAAUUUGAAAAUUAUAUAAUUUAUAUUGUUAAUAAAUUAUAAUUUAUUAUAAAUAAUUUUAAAUUAAAUAAAAUUUAAUUUUAAUUUAUUUUUUUUUUAUAAAAAAAAAUUUUUUAAUUAUAUAAGAUUAGUUAUAAUGAUAAAAUUAGUAUAUAUUAUAUUUAAUUUUUAAGAUAUAAUAUUAAUUAUUUUAAAGGAAUUCGGCAAAAAUUAUACUCACUUGUUUAUCAAAAACAUGUCUUUUUGUAAAUAAUAUAAAGUCUAAUCUGCCCACUGAUUUUAAUUAAAGGGCUGCAGUAUAUUGACUGUACAAAGGUAGCAUAAUCAUUAGUCAUUUAAUUGAUGACUUGUAUGAAAGAUUGGAUGAAGUAUAAACUGUCUCUAAGAUAUAUAAUAAAAUUUAAUUUUUAAAUUAAAAAGUUUAAAUAAAUUAAAAAGACGAGAAGACCCUAUAGAGUUUUAUUUAUUAAUUUAUUAUAAUUAUUUUUAAAUUUAAAAUUUUUAAUUUAUUAAUAAAUUUUAUUGGGGUGAUAAAAAAAUAUAUUUAACUUUUUUUUAUAUGUAUUAUAUAUAUAUAUAUAUAUAUAUAAUUUUAUAUAAACAUGAAUAAGUGAAUAAUUGAUCCAAUUUUAUUGAUUAUAAGAAAAAGUUACCUUAGGGAUAACAGCGUAAUUUAUUUUUUUAGUUCACAUAAAAAAAUGAGUUUGCGACCUCGAUGUUGGAUUAAGAUAAAAAUUAAAUGCAAAAGUUUAAAUUUUUGAUCUGUUCGAUCAUUAAAAUCUUACAUGAUCUGAGUUCAGACCGGUGUAAGCCAGGUUGGUUUCUAUCUUUUAAAUUAAAUAAUAUUUUAGUACGAAAGGAUCAAAUAUUAAAAUUAAAUUUAUUAUUUGAAUUUUAGUAAUUAUAUAUAUAUAUAUAUAUAUAUAUAAAUAAAUUAAUACUAAUUUAGGAA